AUUGAACGCUGGCGGCAGGCCUAACACAUGCAAGUCGAGCGGAUGAAGGGAGCUUGCUCCUGGAUUCAGCGGCGGACGGGUGAGUAAUGCCUAGGAAUCUGCCUGGUAGUGGGGGAUAACGUCCGGAAACGGGCGCUAAUACCGCAUACGUCCUGAGGGAGAAAGUGGGGGAUCUUCGGACCUCACGCUAUCAGAUGAGCCUAGGUCGGAUUAGCUAGUUGGUGGGGUAAAGGCCUACCAAGGCGACGAUCCGUAACUGGUCUGAGAGGAUGAUCAGUCACACUGGAACGGAAACACGGCCCAGACUCCUACGGGAGGCGGCGGUGGGGAAUUUUGGACAAGGGGCAAAAGCUUGACCCAGCCAUGCGGGGUGUGUGAAGAAGGUCUUGGGAUUUUAAAGCAUUUUAAGUGGGGAGGAAGGGAAGUAAGUUAAUCCUUUCCUGUUUUGACGUUACCAAAAAAAAAAGCCCCGGCUAACUUCGGG
rnacentral:rRNA from 1 species